rnacentral:rRNA from 1 species
ACAAUGGAGAGUUUGAUCCUGGCUCAGGAUGAACGCUAGCGGCAGGCCUAAUACAUGCAAGUCGAACGAUACCAGAGAGCUUGCUUUCUGGGAAAGUGGCGCACGGGUGCGUAACGCGUAUGCAACCUACCUUAAUCAGGGGGAUAGCCUCUCGAAAGAGAGAUUAACACCGCAUAAAAUCACAAGCUGGCAUCAGCAAAUGAUCAAAUAUUUAUAGGAUUAAGAUGGGCAUGCGUGACAUUAGUUUGUUGGUGAGGUAACGGCUCACCAAGACUACGAUGUCUAGGGGAUCUGAGAGGAUGACCCCCCACACUGGUACUGAGACACGGACCAGACUCCUACGGGAGGCAGCAGUAAGGAAUAUUGGUCAAUGGGGGCAACCCUGAACCAGCCAUGCCGCGUGCAGGAAGACGGCCCUACGGGUUGUAAACUGCUUUUAUACGGGAAUAAAUCGCGCUACGUGUAGCGUGUUGAAUGUACUGUAAGAAUAAGGAUCGGCUAACUCCGUGCCAGCAGCCGCGGUAAUACGGAGGAUCCAAGCGUUAUCCGGAUUUAUUGGGUUUAAAGGGUGCGUAGGCGGCCUAUUAAGUCAGGGGUGAAAGACGGUGGCUCAACCAUCGCAGUGCCCUUGAUACUGAUGGGCUUGAUUACACUUGAGGUAGGCGGAAUGUGACAAGUAGCGGUGAAAUGCAUAGAUAUGUCACAGACCACCAAUUGCGAAGGCAGCUUACUAAGGUGUUAAUGACGCUGAGGCACGAAAGCGUGGGGAUCAAACAGGAUUAGAUACCCUGGUAGUCCACGCCCUAA